UAUUUUCUAUUUCUACUAUAUAGAAAGCUGAGUGUGGAACUACCAAGGGUAAUAUAGUUAUUUUGCUCCAUGAUAAAAGAGUUCCAGAACAAUCUACCUCUUCAAUCAUCACUCUCACUCAUCUUUCACUCUUCAAUAUUCAUGGAUGGCUCUCAUCUAGGUUAACGUUGUAGCUGAUAGAUUGCCGUUGAAUCUCAUUUCAUUCUCAGAAGCUAAUCAACCAAAAAAGAAAUUAUCUUGCAUGUGCGACUUCCAUGAACCCUAAAGAUCAGUUGACCAAAUUCGGUAAGGAUCUUACACCCAUACCCAUGUCAUGUCUACAUGGGUGUGGCACCAAAAGUGAAAAGUCCAAUCAACUCAGAAGUAAAUUGCUCAAGCAUUUUUGCAGAAAGAGGCUGCAUUUUUUGUUUGAAGAUCUGUAUGGUGUGGACUCUCUCAAAGAUCAUAAGGAAAUUUAUCAUCUAACCACUUCUCGACCUACUGACACGAUGGAGAUGCUUUAUUCAGAAUUCAAAAUGUACAAAGUUAUGAAAUUAGCACCAUAAGAGGUCAGGAGACAGUUGCUAUAACAUGUCAGUGUUGUUUUUAGAUUACUUGGGGUGAUGGAAAUUCUUAUUGACAAGUUAUAUGAAAUCUUAAUUGAAUCUGGUAUGUGAUUCACUGAUAUGGUACAAGAGACAAGAUCCAUAUCCAGCUGUUUACGACCUGAUUUUGUGAUUAAAGCAUCUCGCAAAGGAACAAUCUUGCUGAAGUAGGUGAAGGUACAGUUGUUGCAGGAGCAAGGUUAAAAUAAUACAGACUGUCUGCUUCAAGAAGCUUCAAACGUGGCAUCACAAGAAAAUGGAGAUUCCAGAUUGUCAGCUAGAGUAUCUUCUAUGAUUAAUGAAUACGUGAUCAUUGAUGCAAAUAUGUUUCCGCGACAAUAUAUAUAUAUAUAUAUAUAAUUCUUUGUUUUCUUCUUUUCAA